AGAACGAACGCUGGCGGCAGGCCUAACACAUGCAAGUCGAACGCCGUAGCAAUACGGAGUGGCAGACGGGUGAGUAACGCGUGGGAACAUACCCCUCGGUUCGGAAUAACUCAGGGAAACUUGAGCUAAUACCGGAUACGUCCGAGGUUUUAAUCGACCUUGGAGAAAGAUUUAUCGCCGGAGGAUUGGCCCGCGUCUGAUUAGCUUGUUGGUGAGGUAAUGGCUCACCAAGGCGACGAUCAGUAGCUGGUCUGAGAGGAUGAUCAGCCACAUUGGGACUGAGACACGGCCCAAACUCCUACGGGAGGCAGCAGUGGGGAAUAUUGGACAAUGGGCGAAAGCCUGAUCCAGCCAUGCCGCGUGAGUGAUGAAGGCCUUAGGGUUGUAAAGCUCUUUUACCGGGAAGAUAAUGACGGUACCGGAGAAUAAGCCCGGCUAACUUCGUGCCAGCAGCCGC
rnacentral:rRNA from 1 species